GCGGGUGUAACUCAGUUGGUAGAGUACCACGUUGCCAACGUGGUUGUCGCGAGUUCGAGUCUCGUCACCCGCU
rnacentral:tRNA from 1 species